rnacentral:rRNA from 1 species
UGAACGCUGGCGGCGUGCCUAACACAUGCAAGCCGAACGAAGCUUGACGGAUGAUUUCUUCGGAAUGAAACUAGAUAUGACUUAGUGGCGGACGGGUGAGUAACACGUGAGCAACCUGCCUUUCAGAGGGGGAUAACGGCUGGAAACGGUCGCUAAUACCGCAUGAUGUGUUCGGAUGGCAUCAUCUGAACAUCAAAGAUUUAUCGCUGAAAGAUGGGCUCGCGUCUGAUUAGAUAGUUGGUGGGGUAACGGCCUACCAAGUCUACGAUCAGUAGCCGGACUGAGAGGUUGAACGGCCACAUUGGGACUGAGAUACGGCCCAGACUCCUACGGGAGGCAGCAGUGGGGAAUAUUGCACAAUGGGGGAAACCCUGAUGCAGCAACGCCGCGUGAAGGAUGACGGUUUUCGGAUUGUAAACUUCUUUUCUUAGUGACGAAGACAGUGACGGUAGCUAAGGAAUAAGCAUCGGCUAACUACGUGCCAGCAGCCGCGGUAAUACGUAGGAUGCAAGCGUUAUCCGGAUUUACUGGGUGUAAAGGGAGCGCAGGCGGGACUGCAAGUUGGAUGUGAAAUACCGUGGCUUAACCACGGAACUGCAUCCAAAACUGUAGUUCUUGAGUGAAGUAGAGGCAAGCGGAAUUCCGAGUGUAGCGGUGAAAUGCGUAGAUAUUCGGAGGAACACCAGUGGCGAAGGCGGCUUGCUGGGCUUUAACUGACGCUGAGGCUCGAAAGUGUGGGGAGCAAACAGGAUUAGAUACCCUGGUAGUCCACACUGUAGACGAUGAUAGCUAGGUGUGGGGGGUCUGACCCCUUCCGUGCCGGAGUUAACGCAAUAAGCUAUCCACCUGGG